GAUGCAAUCCCAGUCAGAAGAAAAUGUGAAGUUGAUUGAGUAUUACUCCUCAGAUUCUGGAAUCCACAGGGAAUCAGUUUUUCUUUAUUCUACUAUUAUUUGUCAAGUGUCUAUAGUCACAGUGUGACUAUCACGGCAGAAAAAUCUUAGAACAGCAGACCCCCAAACAGCAAUUUAACGGGCUCCUAUUGAUGAUUUUAUAUAUUAACACGUGAACUUACAUGAAUUUAUAGAUUAACAUAUUAUGGAACUGAUCCUGUUUAUUUCAGAUUCUUAUGCUUCCAUGCUCUCUAGCAAGUUACCAAAUUUCAAGUUCUCAGAAGGCAUAAAAAGUGGGGUACCUAAUAUGGAACAGAGACUGAAGAGGGACGAGAUAAAGUAUGAGCGUUUGCGUGCUAAACCAAAAUCAGUCAAAAAUGUAGCUCCUACUUUUUACUAUACUCAUUUUGUACAUUUGCCAUACCUUGGGAUCUGGAGGAAGAAGUCAACUGAGUACUGUUGUAAAGCCUUGUCUCCUCGAGAUCUGUCUGACCUCAGCCAGGCAAAUGGAAUGCUCUGCUUGAGGCAUAGUGGGAUGACAGUCAGUCGGUGAAACCCUGGGUGUUGCCUCACUCUGCUCUGUGGUCAUUCUGAGGGAAGGCAGGAACCCAUUGUCUUCAUCAGUGUUAGCUCUGUGUCGUGGGUGUGAAGUUAGAGAAGCCAAGCAGGAGUGCUUUCCUUCUUCAUCUCAGAGUGAGAAAUUACUCAUCACUGCCCAGGGGACACCAGCUUGGGUUCUUUCUUCCUUUCAUGAAGAAGCCACUCAUUUUUUUUGCUAAUAAGUCACAUGACAUGGGUGUAGGAAAAGAAGCCAGCUCAGAUAAAAUGUUCUCCAGUGAACAGCUAAGGGUUACUCGUUACCAAGACACAUAGGAGCAGCCAGAAGUUACUGUAAUACUUGGUGGCCAGAGAGUGUUUUCAUGGUGUGCUCAACUUUGGGAAACCUGAUCUGGGUUCUCAGAAUGCCUUUUGAAACAUUAUCCCUCCUGCGCUGUCCCCAGUUCUAGGUUUCAUAAUUAUGAUGCCAAUUAUUACCUGUGCAAUUUUAAGGGGGAGGAGAGAGGCAAUGAAGUUGAUUGUCAAGGCACUGAGAACCCGAGGACUGGAGGAGAGUUCCUCUCCUCUCACAUAGCAUCAAGACCUCUUGACAUACUGUGGUCA
rnacentral:lncRNA from 1 species